CCUACGGGUGGCAGCAGUGAGGAAUAUUGGUCAAUGGGCGCGAGCCUGAACCAGCCAAGUCGCGUGAGGGAAGACGGUCCUAUGGAUUGUAAACCUCUUUUGUCGGGGAGCAAACGACGCCACGCGUGGCGUUCCGAGAGUACCCUAAGAACAAGCAUCGGCUAACUCCGUGCCAGUAGCCGCGGUAAUACGGAGGAUGCGAGCGUUAUCCGGAUUUAUUGGGUUUAAAGGGUGCGCAGGCGGAAGAUCAAGUCAGCGGUAAAAUUGUGAGGCUCAACCUCUGCGAGCCGUUGAAACUGGUAGUCUUGAGUGAGCGAGAGGUAGGCGGAAUGCGUGGUGUAGCGGUGAAAUGCAUAGAUAUCACGCAGAACUCCGAUUGCGAAGGCAGCAUACCGGCGCUCAACUGACGCUCAUGCACGAAAGUGUGGGUAUCGAACAGGAUUAGAUACCCGGGUAGUC
rnacentral:rRNA from 1 species